rnacentral:lncRNA from 1 species
UAAGAAUUGUAAUUACAGCAGUAAUAAUCAGAAUACUCACAUACGUCCAACUCAGAGCAGUUGUUAAGUUAAAAUUCCCCAUGUUAUACACAGUUGUAAUUUGGUUUCUUAACUGUUAUGAUUGGGUCUUUUUCUCAAUAUAAGAAUGCCAAGUUGUGAAGUGCCCAUAUUCCCAAGCUGAGUCUCCCUCUUGCUUACACAGCAAUAAAGUGAGGAAUAAUCCAUGGCCUACUGAACUCACCCUCAGACUGACAGCUGUCUCUGCAACUAAGUAAGCAAACUCCGGGCUUCACGCUCCCUGGGAAACCCACAAGAGACCAGGAGGCAGCACUCUUACAGAGAACAUGAAUGGAAUCGUACUGUUAAACAUUGCUACUUGAAUCAUUAACUUUAAGAAAAUGAAGUUGGAAUAUUAAAGAAAAAGAAAAGCCCAGAAAUGCCAGCAUGAAUUGAAUGGCAACUUUGCCAGAACAAUCAGGUGGAGUUUUGCUCUUGUUGCUCAGGCUGGAGUGCAAUGGCGCGAUCUCGGCUCUCUGCAUCCUCCGCCUCCCGGGUUCAAGCGAUUCUCUUGCCUCGGCCUCCCGAGAAGCUGGGAUUACGGGCAUAUGCCACCACGCCUGGCUAAUUUUGUAUUUUUAGUAGAGACCGGGUUUCUCCAAGUUGGUCAGGCUGGUCUCACACUCCCAACCCCAGGUGAUCCGCCCGCCUCGGCCUCCGAAAGUGCUGGGAUUACAGGCAUGAGCCACUGUGCCCGGCCUGAAGUUUCUUUUUUGUUUUUUAACUGUCCUCACCUGUCACAUAUCUAAAACAGUGUAUUUUAUUUACUCUAUGUUUAUGUAAAGAGUUUUAAAAUUUUGACAGUAGCUUAGAUUUUCAUUGGUAGAAUAUCAAGCUUGUUUAGGUUUUUAAGAGUUAUUAAAUGUCAUUAACUUCAUAAUUAAAUCUUAAGCUAUUUAUAAAAAUUGUGUGCUCCAUACGUAAUGCUAAGUACAUUCCUGCUCUAUAAGAUGUUCCACCGAACUUUAGAUUUGUAUAUCAAUGCAAAACCAAAUGAUUUUAUUAUCAGUGUUACACUUUUACCAAAAUUUAUAACAAAUAGCUUUCACAAUAACACCCUGCUUUUUUUUUUUUGGGGGGGGGGCAACUUUAUUUACAAAAAUUUUGCUUUGAUUCCAUAAAUUGAAUGAAAAAUAUAGAAUAAUCAUUAGAAUUUAGUGAUUUUUCUGUUUGAAGCAAUUAAGGACACUGUAUCAUUAGCAAGAAAUGAUACUAAUGGAGUCAAGAAAGAAGAAUUAUUACGUCACUCCUGAACUUUUAAAAGUAAUACCAGAAACUGAAAAUUGAUUUACAAAAUUUUUAAUCGUAGUCAUUUUAUCUAAAUAAAAAGUAAUGCUUCAUGGAGUGUUACAUAAAUGCACCCUCUGCAACUGCACUUCUU